rnacentral:lncRNA from 1 species
GGAAUUGAACAAAAUCAUGAUGCUGGAAUUUCGUACAAUUCCCUAUUCUUGAAUAGAGUGUCUAUUUCAAUAAUCGGAUCUCAUUUAAUUUGGGAUUAUUCUGCAAUAUAGGAUCGAAUUCUCUCUAAAAACAAUGUAAUUAAACUUUCAUAAAGGUAACAAAGAGGUAGAUCAAAAAAAUUAUACAUACCAUAUUAUUCUGCAAGCGACCUAGUUCAUUUAGUCAUCAUUUCGCUCAAUGUAUAUUUUUGUUUGAUGAGAUGAGCAUAUUUUUAAAAUUUGACAUACCUUGUACAUAGUCUCCCUUCAUACUACAGAACACUCCCACCACCUUGCACUGACCAUUGACAAAUUAAACCAUACACUAAUAAUAAUUCCUAUGGAAAUUAGAAGUCAAAUUUAGAAGAUGGCAUUGGUCAAAGUUAACUUGUCCGUCCGUAAAUCGCAGUGGUGGGGACCGACUGGGUUGAAGAAGAAGAAGAGAAGUCAAGCAUGAAAGAGAAGAACCAAUUAGAGUAGCUAAGGAGACCUGCCUGGAAAUCAAACAAGAAUGCUA